UUUUUAUGGAGAGUUUGAUCCUGGCUCAGAGUGAACGCUGGCGGCGUGCCUAAUACAUGCAAGUCGAACGAUGAAGCUUCUAGCUUGCUAGAAGUGGAUUAGUGGCGCACGGGUGAGUAAGGUAUAGUUAAUCUGCCCUACACAAGAG
rnacentral:rRNA from 1 species